rnacentral:rRNA from 1 species
GCUUGCUUGUUGGGGUUGUAGGACACUCUAUACGGAGUUACAAAAGAACAUGUUAGACGAAUCAUCUGGAAAGAUGAAUCAAAGAAGGUAAUAAUCCUGUAGUCGGAAACAUAUUCUCUCUUGAGUGGAUCCUGAGUACGACGGAGCACGUGAAAUUCCGUCGGAAUCUGGGAGGACCAUCUCCUAAGGCUAAAUACUCUCUAGUGACCGAUAGUGAACCAGUACCG